rnacentral:rRNA from 1 species
UAAUACGUAGGUGGCAAGCGUUGUCCGGAUUUAUUGGGCGUAAAGCGAGCGCAGGCGGAAGAAUAAGUCUGAUGUGAAAGCCCUCGGCUUAACCGAGGAACUGCAUCGGAAACUGUUUUUCUUGAGUGCAGAAGAGGAGAGUGGAACUCCAUGUGUAGCGGUGGAAUGCGUAGAUAUAUGGAAGAACACCAGUGGCGAAGGCGGCUCUCUGGUCUGCAACUGACGCUGAGGCUCGAAAGCAUGGGUAGCGAACAGGAUUAGAUACCCUGGUAGUCCAUGCCGUAAACGAUGAGUGCUAAGUGUUGGGAGGUUUCCGCCUCUCAGUGCUGCAGCUAACGCAUUAAGCACUCCGCCUGGGGAGUACGACCGCAAGGUUGAAACUCAAAGGAAUUGACGGGGGCCCGCACAAGCGGUGGAGCAUGUGGUUUAAUUCGAAGCAACGCGAAGAACCUUACCAGGUCUUGACAUCUAGUGCAAUCCGUAGAGAUACGGAGUUCCCUUCGGGGACACUAAGACAGGUGGUGCAUGGCUGUCGUCAGCUCGUGUCGUGAGAUGUUGGGUUAAGUCCCGCAACGAGCGCAACCCUUGUCAUUAGUUGCCAGCAUUAAGUUGGGCACUCUAAUGAGACUGCCGGUGACAAACCGGAGGAAGGUGGGGAUGACGUCAAGUCAUCAUGCCCCUUAUGACCUGGGCUACACACGUGCUACAAUGGACAGUACAACGAGGAGCAAGCCUGCGAAGGCAAGCGAAUCUCUUAAAGCUGUUCUCAGUUCGGACUGCAGUCUGCAACUCGACUGCACGAAGCUGGAAUCGCUAGUAAUCGCGGAUCAGCACGCCGCGGUGAAUACGUUCCCGGGCCUUGUACACACCGCCCGUCACACCAUGGGAGUCUGCAAUGCCCAAAGCCGGUGGCCUAUCCUUCGGGAAGGCGCGCUGCGUCGACGCGCCCCGCGGCGCCGU